AGAGAAGGUCUAGUGUUUUGUUUUAUGACAUAAAACACAUCAAUAAAUACUCCACUCUUGAAUAUUGAAGCCUUAAUGGGUCUUAAAAAAUGCGGUUGCUAACAAGUGGCUCAAUGAGACUACUAAACAGCCUCGUCGUGUAUACUCGAGCUCAUGCGACCGUGGUGUAGUUAGUAUAUAGCCUAACGUUAGCUUUUUACUUCUGCCGAUUGCAUUCACACUUCAAAAAUCAUAAAGUGGUGUUCAUUUGUGAAGAUUAUCUUGCUGACCAAAACGUACAGAUAUCAUAACGUGCCUUUGCCUCAGAGCUUAUUUUUCUAAAAUAAUCCAAAACCCAAUGGAAAAAUCCCAUUGUCUUUUUG